AAAGCAGUCAGAUGUUUCAAUUCAAAUAAGAUGUGGGUUUCCAAAAAUUGAACAGACAGAAAAUGUGACUAAGGACACAUAUAGAGAAUUGGAUGAUUAAUUUUUAUGAAUACUAUGUAGGCCAGUCCACUAAUGAGGUAGUAACUUGCAGAAAAACUGUACAAAAUCCCUUUCCAAAUAGAGUCUCCCCACUCAGACUCUUUUAACAUUUGUAUAUAGAAGUAAAAUUGGACAGUAAGACAAAAAAAGGCCUAACUGACGUAUUGUUUAUGCUUAAUGCAUUGUUGCUCCUUCAAAUAGGAAAAUAGCGGGAAGUUCUAGCUAAAACAUACAGGUUUAGUUCUGCCCAUUUCCAUAGUUGGGCAAGUUCUUUGUUUCCCAACCUCCACCUUGGCUUACUGCAAUGAAGGAAAACAGAAUGUAAAAUAAUUAGAGAGCAGUAGAGCAUGACAUAAUUACAUCACCAAUCUGUACAGUAUUACCAUUGCCCUAAAUUCUCUUUUUACACAAAAUAAGGCUAUUAAAAUUGGAAGUGGGGCUGGAUUUUCUGGUUAAAAAAUCGUACUACAAAUACUGGCACAAUAAAUGGGAGGUGCGUAAGCUCAAAGAAUGUAUGCACCAUUUCCUAAAUAACUUUGUGUAAUAUGCCCUUUUCCUAGGCUAAUCUAGAACAUGAAAUUACAAUGAGAAAAUCGAUGUCAGUAUCCAUUCCAACAUGAACUUCAUGCAUAUAUAACAACCCAUCUAACUACAUUAAUCAACAUGAAUAAGAUCUGACUUGAUAUUCAUGUUGAUUCCAUGCUUCUCCCUUAAUCAAGAAGUGAAUAAUACAAAGUUCCAAAUAACUGCAAUAGAUUCCAAAACUCACAAAAGAUUAGUAAUUCCUGUGCGAAAAAAUAAUGAAGAACAACAUAAGAAUCAGGAUGCCUAGUAAGAAUCAAAGUUGGAAUAAAAGUUCUCCCUCCCUCCCUCCCUCCCUCUCACACAAACAUGCAUCAGACAAGACGUACAAAGAGAUAGAAGAGUGCCUAUGUUUUCUUGGUCCUCCCUCCCUUGGCUACUUCAAACUAUGCUGGAAUUCAUGGUAGGCAUCGGGCUGGGGAGGACAAAUUGGAAAAUGGCGCGCCUGUUCCUCACCAUGAAGCAAGAACAAAAUAAGAAUCAGGAUGCCUAGUAAAAAUCAAAGUUGGAAUAAAAGUUUCCUUCCCUCCCUCCCACUCACACAAACAUGCAUCAGACAAGACGUACAAAGAGAUAGAAGAGUACCUAUGUUUUCUUGGUCCUCCCUCCCUUGGCUGCUUCAAACUGUGCUGGAAUUCAUGGUAGGCAUCGGGCUGGGGAGGACGAAUUGGAAGAUGGCGUGCCUGUUCCUCACCAUGAAGCACCUCGUCCAACCCAUGGUGCCCAGCUGUGGCCACUACUCCCAUGCUCGUCAAAUUUGAGUUACCUUCCACCUUUACACUAUCCCGCAAAGAAAAGAGGCUAGCUAAAUGAUAUCAUACUCUCUGAUGAGAGUGAUAUUAAUUAAACAAAGUACUAAUGUCAGGUUGCUUGAUUAGUUGAAGGAACACUUCAUACAACCACAUAAAUAAUAGAAGGCACGUAUGUGACGACUCCUUUUUGCUGGUUACGAUUAACCAAAUAUACCAAACCAGUUGCAGGAUGAGGAUGUCAGCAAACUUGACACAACUGCAUUCUCUGUACAUCAUAUAUAAGAACGAGGUGAAGCACAAAAGGAGGUUAUUAAUUACCAUUAAAGCCAUUGGAAGAAGAUCACUUUCGAAUCUGACGAACGUGGUCUUCUAUGUCAGAUCUGCACACAUCAAGUUCAAAAAUCCAAAUAUUAUCAAAGUAAAAUAUGAGCGAGGAAGGAAGUGAGGGAGAAAGAGUGGAGGACCUAGUUCGUCGCUGGACUGCGUUGCUCGAGUCGCCUCCAACAGGCACGUGUUGUCCUUCUUAUACUCCAGAUGCACGAGGCAGCCAUUGAACGAGAGAUAGCUCCUACUUCCUCUCACCUUCCCACCGCCUGUUCACCUCGAGCUCCUUGCCCGAUGGAGGGUGGAGGCAGAGGUGGCGCCUCAUGGCACAGAGGAGGCGACGACGCGGUGGCGCAACAAUUCGACCUGCCGGCCGCUGGCAUGUGCGCGAGGCAUCACCCUGCCCCUUCCUACCCGCUAGGAUCGCUCACCCAGCUCCUUCCCCGCUGUUGCUUGCCUUCCUCGCCGGCUUCCUCCAUCCCCUACAUCCCCACACCUCCCUUCCAUGGGAGAUGAGAGGACGAGCGCGCGGGAGGCGGCGAAGCUCCUACGGCGGAGACAGGGGCGACGAGCAGGGAAGGAGUGGCGGCGACAAACGAGGGAGGGAGGAGGAGGAGGGAGGGAGUGGCGGCUGUGGAUUGGGGGUAGGGUUUGUGGUUGUGCCCG
rnacentral:lncRNA from 1 species